AGAGUUUGCUUCUGGCUCAGGAUGAACGCUGGCGGCGUGCUUAACACAUGCAAGUCGAACGGGAAUGCCGCGCUGAUGCGAUUUCGGUCAAAUCAUGUGGCAUUCGAGUGGCGGACGGGUGAGUAACGCGUGGGUAACCUGCCUUACACAGGGGGAUAACACCUGGAAACAGGUGCUAAUACCGCAUAAGCGCACAGGGCCGCAUGGCCCGGUGUGAAAAACUCCGGUGGUGUAAGAUGGACCCGCGUCUGAUUAGCUUGUUGGCGGGGUAGGGGCCCACCAAGGCGACGAUCAGUAGCCGGCCUGAGAGGGUGGACGGCCACAUUGGGACUGAGACACGGCCCAAACUCCUACGGGAGGCAGCAGUGGGGGAUAUUGGACAAUGGGGGAAACCCUGAUCCAGCGACGCCGCGUGAGUGAAGAAGUAUUUCGGUAUGUAAAGCUCUAUCAGCAGGGAAGAAAAUGACGGUACCUGACUAAGAAGCCCCGGCUAACUACGUGCCAGCAGCCGCGGUAAUACGUAGGGGGCAAGCGUCAUCCGGAUUUACUGGGUGUAAAGGGAGCGUAGACGGCUGUGCAAGCCAGAUGUGAAAGCCCGGGGCUCAACCCCGGGACUGCAUUUGGAACUGUGUGGCUGGAGUGUCGGAGAGGCAGGCGGAAUUCCUAGUGUAGCGGUGAAAUGCGUAGAUAUUGGGAGGAACACCAGUGGCGAAGGCGGCCUGCUGGACGAUGACUGACGUUGAGGCUCGAAAGCGUGGGGAGCAAACAAGAUUAGAUACCCUGGUAGUCCACGCCGUAAACG
rnacentral:rRNA from 1 species